AACGAACGCUGGCGGCAGGCUUAACACAUGCAAGUCGAACGCUCGUAGCAAUACGGGAGUGGCGGACGGGUGAGUAACGCGUGGGAACGUGCCCUGAGGUACGGAAUAACUGCGGGAAACUGCAGCUAAUACCGUAUGAGCCCGUGAGGGGAAAGAUUUAUCGGAGAAGGAUCGGCCCGCGUUGGAUUAGGUAGUUGGUGGGGUAAUGGCCUACCAAGCCGACGAUCCAUAGCUGGUUUGAGAGGAUGAUCAGCCACACUGGGACUGAGACACGGCCCAGACUCCUACGGGAGGCAGCAGUGGGGAAUCUUGCGCAAUGCGCGAAAGCGUGACGCAGCAACACCGCGUGAGGGAAGACGGCCUUAGGGUUGUAAACCUCUUUCAGAUGGGACGAAGGUGAUGCGGUGAAUAGCCGAUGUCAUUGACGGUACCGUCAGAAGAAGCUCCGGCUAACUACGUGCCAGCAGCCGCGGUAAGGAGCUGUCGU
rnacentral:rRNA from 1 species